AAAAACAUGGUUUUUUGUUUAUAUAAAAGAUUUGGCCUGCCCAAUGAUUAUAUAAAUGGCUGCAGUAUUUUGACUGUACUAAGGUAGCAUAAUCAUUUGUCCUUUAAUUGAGGGCUGGAAUGAAUGGUCGGAUAAAAAAUAAACUUUCUUUAUUUUAAGUUAAAAAAUUAAUUUUUUAAUUAAAAAGUUAAAAUAUGAUUAUAGGACGAGAAGACCCUAUAGAACUUUAUUAAUAUAAAGAUAUAUUAUAUAUAGUUUUUUAUAUAAUAAUUAUAAUAUAUUAUUAUAUUAAUUUUAUUGGGGUGAUAAAAAAAAUUAUAUAACUUUUUUUAUAAAAAUCAUAUAUAUAUGAUUAUAUUGAUCCUAUGAUUAGGAGUAUAAGAUUAAGUUACCUUAGGGAUAACAGCGUUAUUAUUUUGGAGAGUUCAUAUUGAUGAAAUAGUUUGCGACCUCGAUGUUGGAUUAAAUUAAGUAAUAGGGGUAGAUAUUUAUUUACUAGGUCUGUUCGACCUUUAAAUUUUUACAUGAUCUGAGU
rnacentral:rRNA from 1 species